AGGAGGAACAACCUCAGUGGCGGGGCCAGCUCUGGAAACCUGGAUUCAGCCCCCGCAGGAACUCCAGAGCUCUCCGUCUGCAGGGCCUGGAGGCUCCGGGGCGGG
rnacentral:pre_miRNA from 1 species